rnacentral:rRNA from 1 species
AUUGAACGCUGGCGGCAUGCCUUACACAUGCAAGUCGAACGGUAACGGGCCUUCGGGUGCCGACGAGUGGCGAACGGGUGAGUAAUACAUCGGAACGUGCCCGAUCGUGGGGGAUAACGAGGCGAAAGCUUUGCUAAUACCGCAUACGAUCUACGGAUGAAAGCAGGGGACCGCAAGGCCCUGCGCGGACGGAGCGGCCGAUGGCAGAUUGGGUAGUUGGUGGGAUAAAAGCUUACCAAGCCGACGAUCUGUAGCUGGUCUGAGAGGAUGAUCAGCCACACUGGGACUGAGACACGGCCCAGACUCCUACGGGAGGCAGCAGUGGGGAAUUUUGGACAAUGGGCGCAAGCCUGAUCCAGCCAUGCCGCGUGCAGGAUGAAGGCCUUCGGGUUGUAAACUGCUUUUGUACGGAACGAAAAGCCUUCUUUUAAUACAGGAGGGUCAUGACGGUACCGUAAGAAUAAGCACCGGCUAACUACGUG